AUGUGCCGUGCCUGCAGAGAUGGGGGACGACGCUUCCCAUCCCGGCUCGAAACGGCUGCGUGUUCCCACCAGCCAGGGGACGUGGCGGCAACGGCAGCAGGCGAUGGAGGAGGAGAUGGAGGGCAGGCAGCACCUCUCCACACCGAACCUCCCUCCGGAGGGGUGAUGCCCUUGGCGUCAGAGAGAAAUUCGGUGUCUCAGUCCAUGUGGCAAGUCUUAAUGGGCUGCUUUGCCUGCAUGGCUGCGACUGGAAUACUCUCACUCAAGCCACCUAGCUGGACCUGCUUCCAAAAGGAGAGUUACUUUUACCUUGUUAGGCUUUUACAUCAAGCAGCAUUUCAGUUUCUCCAGCGAGCAGGUUUCCACGCAGUCAGGAGCACCUGGAACAACCCGUUUCAAUUAGCUUUUUACUUAUUUAUGGAGCCAGGGCUACAUCCAACGCCUGCGGGUCACAAAGGAGCCUCCCAGCUCCCCCGCACCGGCUGCGGAGAGCACUGUCGGUCAGGGCGCGACGGGAUUACGCAGGGAUGUGCCCACGCUCGCCUGCUUUAUUUCAGGAAUGAUCUCGGAGCUGCGUACUGUAGCGCACAGCUCCCGGUCGGUGUGGGUCACCAAGCUCCACGAGCUCCAGCUGUUGGGUCACCUAAGUGGGCUGAAAACAGGUUUAUAUGGCGGGGUGGUAGAAAACCCACCCAUGCACCCAUGUCACGUCUACUGCAGGGCACCAGCUGCGCAAUGCAGCUCAGCUCAGAGCAUGCCUCCGUGUUGCAACCAGCAGCAAAGUGGCAUGACAUGGAGCAAUGCCUUGAAAGACCGGAAUUCGGAGUAAACCCCAGCCAUCCAUCGCAACAGAGCAAGUUGCUUGUCUUCUCUUUGCCGCUGCUGGGAAUAUGGAGGGAGUUGUUCUGCCCUUCCCCACAGAGAGGUGGGGAAGCCUCCAGGAUCUUCCAGCAGCACGUUGCUUUCGUUGUGCAAGCCUCAGUCCAGCCAGACUGGACAAGUCCCCUCCCUGCAAGACCCAGAUGCCCUUGGAGGCAUCCUCAGCAGAGAUGCUCAGAAGGACUGCUCUGUAGGGCUGCCUCCCUACGCUACAAAGUGCUUUUUUCAUCCAGGCAAGCAUAUCUGGGGCAGGCAGCAGCAGAGAAAUGGUUCACACCGAGGCUGAACAUCCAAACCUGA
rnacentral:lncRNA from 1 species